rnacentral:rRNA from 1 species
ACCCAUGAGCAGGUUGAAGCUGUAGUAACAUACAGUGGAGGACCGAACCAGUUGACGUUGAAAAGUCUUUGGAUGACCUGUGGGUAGGGGUGAAAGGCCAAUCAAACUCGGAAAUAGCUCGUACUCCCCGAAAUGCAUUUAGGUGCAGCGUUGAGUAAAAGUUUUAUAGAGGUAGAGCUACUGAUUGGAUGCGGGGGCUUCACCGCCUACCAAUUCCUGACAAACUCCGAAUGCUAUAAAAUGUUUCUCAGCAGUGAGGGCAUGGGUGCUAAGGUCCAUGUCCGAGAGGGAAAGAACCCAGACCAUCAGCUAAGGUCCCCAAAUAUAUGUUAAGUUGAAUAAACGAGGUUUGUCUGCCCAGACAGCUAGGAUGUUGGCUUGGAAGCAGCCAUUCAUUUAAAGAGUGCGUAACAGCUCACUAGUCGAGCGGACGAGUAUGGAUAAUAAUCGGGCAUAAACAUAUUACCGAAGCUAUGGAUUUGUAUUUAAUACAAGUGGUAGGGGAGCAUUGUAACAGGGUAGAAGGUGUACUGUAAGGUAUGCUGGACUGGUUACAAAAGAAAAUGUAGGCAUAAGUAACGAUAAUGCGGGCGAGAAACCCGCACACCGAAAGACUAAGGUUUCCUCAGCGAUGCUAAUCAGCUGAGGGUUAGUCGGGUCCUAAGGCGAAUCCGAACGGAGUAGUCGAUGGAUAACAGGUUAAUAUUCCUGUACUUCUUAUAAUUGCGAUGGGGUGACGGAGUAAUGAAAGCACCGCGAACUGACGGAAUAGUUCGUUGAAACAUUUAGGUAUUGGAACCAUAGGUAAAUCCGUGGAUCUAGCUGAAGUGUGAUAGUACAACAAGUCUUCGGAUGCGUUGAUAGUGUGCCUAAAGGCUUCCAAGAAAAACCUCUAAGCUUCAGAUUAUAAGAACCCGUACCGUAAACCGACACAGGUAGUUGGGAUGAGAAUUCUAAGGUGCUCGAGAGAUUCAUGGCUAAGGAACUAGGCAAAAUCGACCCGUAACUUCGGGAGAAGGGUCGCCCAUCUUCGGAUGGGCCGCAGUGAAAAGGUCCAGGCGACUGUUUAUCAAAAACACAGGGCUUUGCUAAAUUGAAAGAUGAUGUAUAAGGCCUGACACCUGCCCGGUGCUGGAAGGUUAAGUGGAGGGUUUAGCUUCGGCGAAGAUCUGAAAUGAAGCCCCAGUAAACGGCGGCCGUAACUAUAACGGUCCUAAGGUAGCGAAAUUCCUUGUCGGGUAAGUUCCGACCUGCACGAAUGGUGCAACGAUCUGGACACUGUCUCAGCCAUGAGCUCGGUGAAAUUGUAGUAUCGGUGAAGAUGCCGAUUACCCGCAGCG